GUCGUGAAGUUGGACUAAAAUUGGUAAAUUUAGUGAGUGUGUGUACAGACCGUGCACCUUCAAUGGCAGUAAAACAUGAGGGGUUUAUUGCACAGAUUAAAAAAAGUAUUAACAGAUCCAGAUGCUGUGAUUUCUUUUCAUUGAAAUCUCUGUGCUAAAGCUACUAAAGUGACUCUUUGCAACAAGUAAUAAAUAUUGUUAACUAUAUUCCUGCAAAUGCAACAUGGCAUCAUCGGUUUCAUAGCAUGCUAAAGUUAAACAAUGAGGUAUUCGGUGUGGAUUUGCUGUCAUUCUAAAGUGCAUUGGUUAUUGUAGGGACAGGUGUUAGUAAAAAUUUUAUCUCUUCAAGAACAGAUAGUUAAAUUUUAUGAAAAACAGAAUCAGCAAUGUGAAUUACUGAAAGAAGAUUUCUGUAGAAAUGCUGCAUUUCUGUGUGAUAUCAUGUCAAAUCAAAAUGACCUGAACAUUUCUUUGCAAGUAAAACAGUCUAUAUAUGAUACGUGGCAAAAAAUUCAAGCAUUUAGAAGAAAAAAAAAGCUAUCUUUUUCAAAACACUUCUUCAAAAGGAAAUUUUGGAUGAACAUUUUCGCCAGUUAGGAAAGAGACUAUGCAGCUAUUAUAGACCUAUUAAUUGGAGAAUACAAUGAAAGGUUCACUGCCUUUGAGAGUCAUGAAAUCACACUCAAAUUAGCAUUUCACUCUCACCUAGUUGAUAUCACCAAGGCACCUAAAGAACUACAGAUGGAAUUGAUUGAGCUCUCAGUAGAUGGCAUUUUAAAGUCAUUGUUUGAUGCUGAGAAAGAUCCAACUGAAAUGUGGAAAGCUGCAGUAGAAUACCCACGCCUUUCACAACAUGCCUGAAAAAUGCUUUCUUGCUUUUCAACUUAUUGCUGUGAAUCUACAUCCUCCUAUCUAACCCAAAUCAAGACGUCCUUAAGGACACAAAUGACUGAUCCUCAUCUAGUGGAUCACUGAAACUGAAGACUUCCAUACUGUAACCAAAUAUUCAAAUGCUUUCCAACAAAAAGCAGAUACAACAAAGUCAUUAAAAGCUAAAUAUUAAUACAGCCUUCCAACAUGAAAAGGUUCCUGACCCCUGCUCUAUCCACCCUGCCACCAGCUGCCCAUGGAACAAGAUACAUGCUGUCUAAAUGGAUAUUGAAACACUUGCCCGGUUCCUUUUUUAUCUUCCUGAUUAUGUAGUUAUGCUGAUUAUCUGUUAUUCCUUAUAUUGCCCUGAGCCUUUUGGAAAGGUACCUAGGAGCCAGAUUGAAGACAAAAGCAGAAGUUAAAAUCCAGGUCCCCUUUGUCCUAGUUCUUUGUAAAAUUAGUGGUAAUAAUGCCCCACAGAAAAAUGCUGCCCUUGAAACCCACAUUUCUAAGUGGAGCUAUUUUUGUCAAACACUUACCAUUAUUCAAAACAACAGCUCCAGAAGUUGUGUGCAGUAAAGACUAAUUUUUCUACUUAUUAUGGCGCUCCAUUCUUGCCAAGAGGUUUGUUUAAGCUUGCCUUUCUGAUUUAUUACAGUAUGAUUGACUGAUGCUUGUCAUUUUAGUCUGUAAGAGAAUGUUUUGGAUUUUAUAUGACUUGUAAUCCAUUUUUAGUUUUUUGGUUCAUCACUUCCGUCAACCUCACUGAAAUAAAGUUCCUAUUCUGCUGUAUAA